rnacentral:misc_RNA from 1 species
AAGGAUCAUUACUGAGGUUUCGCGGCGCAAGCUGGGGAGAACCCGACCUAUUGUCAUUUGCACGUUGGGGAGGAACGGUGGCGUGUUGGCGUGUGGCUUGUGACGGAUCGUACCCGAGAGGGUGGAUCUGGAGCGGCCCGCGUUGCCGCUGGCGCCCUGACGAACCUGAACUUCGGCGGAAGAGGUAGGCUGGACCUGCCCGCCGCCGGCCGUAACUUAUUUUACUCUGCGACGAGAAUCUGAAGCCUGAUGUACGAAAAACAAAAUGAAAAGCAAAACUUUCAACAACGGAUCUCUUGGCUCUG